GAUCAAGAAAAAUCAGCCGCAACACUCAUCUUCUUCACCUCAGACGAGUGCUGAGAAAUGAUAUAGUUUAGUCUUCCCUCACCAUUAAUAAACCUCCACCAUUUCAGCUAAGCACCCUAAAACACCCAUCAAAACCCCAACAUAACCUCAUCGUCAAACACCCAAAAUACCAACCUUUCUUCGCCGUGUAAACUCCAUGUUCUUUCUAUAGUUUUAGGUCUAUUGAGGGUUCCAGUUCGAUCAAGGUUUUUUUCCCGAUCAGCCAAGUUUCAGAAGACAUCAUCUUGACAUAAAGGUCCAUUUUUUACACUACAAGAAAACAGUCGUUUAGCUACAAACGCANNNN
rnacentral:lncRNA from 1 species